UACGUAGGGUGCGAGCGUUGUCCGGAUUUAUUGGGCGUAAAGAGCUCGUAGGCGGUUCAGUAAGUCAGGUGUGAAAUCUUUGGGCUUAACCCAAAGCGUGCACUUGAUACUGCUGUGACUUGAGUUCGGUAGGGGAGUGGGGAAUUCCUAGUGUAGCGGUGAAAUGCGCAGAUAUUAGGAGGAACACCGGUGGCGAAGGCGGAUCUCUGGGCAUUACCUGACGCUGAGGAGCGAAAGUGUGGGGAGCGAACAGG
rnacentral:rRNA from 1 species